AUUAGAACCCUGUCUGCCCCAACACUCGCAUUCCUUCCAAAGUGCCCCAUGCUUUGAGGCCUGCACAGACAGGAAAACGGGAGUGCCAGGAGAAGAGCUGGCCCGCAGGACAAGAGGCUGAGGAGGGCAGUCCUGGAAGCCUUCCACCAGGGCUGAGACACAACUCCCGCGAGGACCAGCGCAGAGACAGCAGGAAACGGAAGGCUGGAGACAACGCACAAACCCAGGUUAUUCCUUGAGCGCCACAGAGCUACCAAGAAUGACUGUGCUUAGGAUGGAACAUGCUGGCCGCCCACCUAACCCAGAAGUCAGUCUGUCUCCCUGGACACCCCACAUCAUCAUCCUUUUGUAAACAAAGGAGGCUUUGAAGCCACCAGGAGUCCUGCAAGGGUGAGAGAGACGAGAAUGAGCUACAGGCUCCCUGGUGGAAAGCGGAGCCGGGAAAUCUUCCAUAACCUUCCUUGUUUUUCCUAAUUAUGAAAGUAGCAAGUGUUCGUGGUAGUAAAUACGCCAGAGCAUCAAGAAAAAACUAUUAUCCAAAAGAGACAGACAAACGUAACAUCUGGUUUAAAGCAUUUUGGUUUAUGUGUAUAAUUUUUUCUAAUUUUUAGCAUUAAAUUAUGUGCAGUUUUAUUUCCUGCUUUUCUUUCACUGGACUUGGAUCAAAAGUGUUUUCCCAUGUCGAACCCCUCGUCACUGUAAGCAUUUUGUGUGACUAUGUAUCAGCCCAUUCUGUUGAAGGUCUGGUACUCAUUUCUGAGGGUUUCCUCCUUGCCUUUUUAUAUCAGGCCGCUGGGUUUGCUCUGUGGUGGAUAUUCAAACCUGCCUUAUCCGCUUCCUCUCUGCGCUUUCUGAAAUUUUCGACACUGGUUACUGGAUGCGGAAGACCCCGCUAC
rnacentral:lncRNA from 1 species